UGUCAACAGACACGUACAAAAACUCAUACUAGUACGACCGAUACUUCGCUUCAAACAUCAUUUAAAAUGGCAAUCGGCCGACAAUGACCGUUUAUUAAUUGUUCGAAAGAUAAAUACAGUUUAUUUAUCGAUACGUAAUCGGUUUUUGGAAAACAUUUUUUUUUUUUAUAUUGCGUUAUACAUUUUAUGUACGUAUAUUAUUACAGACCACCCCGUAGAGGUAUUAACAUUUUUCUCGCUCUGGGCCCCUCAACGUUUAAAUCCAGCAGGAGAAGUCGCAUAAAAAAGUCCAUUGAAACGACAUCACUAUAAUAAAGAAAUGUUGUAUACUUGCGUCUUUUAUUUUUGUCGACGUUUCUCGCACAAGAGGGUAGUGUGAUUUAUAUUUUAAUAAGAGUGCGGCUGCGGUAAAAAAAAAAUGAAAAAGAAAAAAGAAAUAAUAUAAAUCAGAUCAUUUUCAGCCGACGUCGUCAUCGUACAGUCGUGCGUGUAGAGGGAGGGUUUUUUUUUUAAUAACGGUCGCCUUCUUUCACGCCCACCUUCUUUGGCUGCUUUUUUUUUUUUUAAUUAAGGAGAGCCCCUUAUUAUUAUUUUUUUUUUCCCACUCACCGCGUGUGCAAACACCGCGCGUGCGCACCGCGAGUAGACUUAACAAACUGUAAAGGAAAAACCGCGAAGGGUCUUUUUAAAAAAUGCACGUCUUUUUUUCCUCUCUCCCUCUCUCUCUCUCUCGAUUUUUAUACGCGGGCAUUAGCGUCGCAAAAAGUCGCUCGGAUCUAAAUGAAUCAUCGGCGGAACGGCGGACGGGCGGCGGGCACGUAAAAAAUAAUAACGAGACGCCGGCGGCGACGGCGGCGGACGAGACGUUUCGAAUCUCCGGUCGCGAGAUAGGGUAUGCCGC